rnacentral:rRNA from 1 species
AGGCGACGAUGCAUAGCCGGCCUGAGAGGGCGGACGGCCACAUUGGGACUGAGACACGGCCCAAACUCCUACGGGAGGCAGCAGUAGGGAAUUUUCGUCAAUGGGGGGAACCCUGAACGAGCAAUGCCGCGUGAGUGAGGAAGGUCUUCGGAUCGUAAAGCUCUGUUGUAAGAGAAAAACGGCACUCAUAGGGAAUGAUGAGUGAGUGAUGGUAUCUUACCAGAAAGUCACGGCUAACUACGUGCCAGCAGCCGCGGUAAUACGUAGGUGGCGAGCGUUAUCCGGAAUGAUUGGGCGUAAAGGGUGCGUAGGUGGCAGAUCAAGUCUGGAGUAAAAGGUAUGGGCUCAACCCGUACUGGCUCUGGAAACUGAUCAGCUAGAGAACAGAAGAGGACGGCGGAACUCCAUGUGUAGCGGUAAAAUGCGUAGAUAUAUGGAAGAACACCGGUGGCGAAGGCGGCCGUCUGGUCUGGAUUCUGACACUGAAGCACGAAAGCGUGGGGAGCAAAUAGGAUUAGAUACCCUAGUAGUCCACGCCGUAAACGAUGAGAACUAGGUGUUGGGGGAAUAACUCAGUGCCGCAGUUAACGCAGUAAGUUCUCCGCCUGGGGAGUAUGCACGCAAGUGUGAAACUCAAAGGAUUGACGGGGGCCCGCACAAGCGGUGGAGUAUGUGGUUUAAUUCGAGGCAACGCGAAGAACCUUACCAGGCCUUGACAUCCCUUGCAGAGGUAUAGAGAUAUAUUCGAGGUUAUCAAGGAGACAGGUGGUGCAUGGUUGUCGUCAGCUCGUGUCGUGAGAUGUUGGGUUAAGUCCCGCAACGAGCGCAACCCUUGUGAUAUGUUACUAACAUUGAGUUGAGGACUCAUAUCAGACUGCCGGUGAUAAACCGGAGGAAGGUGGGGAUGACGUCAAAUCAUCAUGCCCCUUAUGGCCUGGGCUACACACGUACUACAAUGGCGUCUACAAAGAGCGGCAAGCCUGUGAAGGCAAGCGAAUCUCAUAAAGGACGUCUCAGUUCGGAUUGAAGUCUGCAACCCGACUUCAUGAAGCUGGAAUCGCUAGUAAUCGCGAAUCAGCAUGUCGCGGUGAAUACGUUCUCGGGCCUUGUACACACCGCCCGUCAAACCAUGGGAGUUGGUAAUGCCCGAAGCCGGUGGCAUAACCCUUCGGGGAGUGAGCCGUCGAAGGCAGGACCGAUGACUGGGGUUAAGUCGUAACAAGGUA